AGCGAACGCUGGCGGCAGGCUUAACACAUGCAAGUCGAACGCCCCGCAAGGGGAGUGGCAGACGGGUGAGUGACACGUGGGAACGUACCCUUUGGUUCGGAAUAACUUGGGGAAACUCAAGCUAAUACCGGAUAAGCCCUUAUGGGGAAAGGUUUACUGCCGAAGGAUCGGCCCGCGUCUGAUUAGCUAGUUAGUGAGGUAAUGGCUCACCAAGGCGACGAUCAGUAGCUGGUCUGAGAGGAUGAUCAGCCACACUGGGACUGAGACACGGCCCAGACUCCUACGGGAGGCAGCAGUGGGGAAUAUUGGACAAUGGGGGCAACCCUGAUCCAGCCAUGCCGCGUGAGUGAUGAAGGCCUUAGGGUUGUAAAGCUCUUUUACCCGGGACGAUAAUGACUGUACCGGGAGAAUAAGCCCCGGCUAACUUCGUGCCAGCCGCCGCGGUAA
rnacentral:rRNA from 1 species